GACGAACGCUGGCGGCGUGCUUAACACAUGCAAGUUGAACGAGAAUUUUUCGAGUGAUUUCUUCGGAAUGAUCAUGAAAAAGGAAAGUAGCGAACGGGUGAGUAACACGUGAGAAACCUGCCUUUCACAAAGGGAUAGCCUCGGGAAACCGGGAUCAAUACCUUAUGAAACCAAACACUCGCAUGAGAGAUUGGUUAAAGAUUUAUCGGUGUUAGAUGGUCUCGCGUCUGAUUAGCUAGUUGGUGGGAUAAAAGCCUACCAAGGCAACGAUCAGUAGCCGGAGUGAGAGGUUGAACGGCCACACUGGAACUGAGACACGGUCCAGACUCCUACGGGAGGCAGCAGUGGGGAAUUUUGCACAAUGGAGGAAACUCUGAUGCAGCGACGCCGCGUGAGUGAUGAAGGUCUUCGGAUUGUAAAACUCUGUCCUUAGUGAAGAUAAUGACAGUAACUAAGAAGCAAGCCCUGGCUAAAUACGUG
rnacentral:rRNA from 1 species